rnacentral:tRNA from 1 species
GGGCUACUAGCUCAACGGAAGAGCAUUCCCCUUCAAAAGUAUAUAGCUUUUUGUAUAUUUUUGAAGGGAAAUGAUAAGGUUCAACUCCUUAGUAGUCCACCA